rnacentral:rRNA from 1 species
UACGUAGGGUGCGAGCGUUAAUCGGAAUUACUGGGCGUAAAGCGUGCGCAGGCGGCUUGCCAAGUCAGAUGUGAAAGCCCCGGGCUCAACCCGGGAACUGCGUUUGAAACUGGCAGGCUAGAGUUUGGCAGAGGGGGGUGGAAUUCCACGUGUAGCAGUGAAAUGCGUAGAGAUGUGGAGGAACACCGAUGGCGAAGGCAGCCCCCUGGGCCAAAACUGACGCUCAGGCACGAAAGCGUGGGGAGCAAGCAGG